rnacentral:tRNA from 1 species
GGUCCUGUAGCCCAACUGGUAGAGGCGGCGGCUUCAAACCCCGUAGGUUGAAGGUUCGAAUCCUUCCAGGACUACCA